rnacentral:misc_RNA from 1 species
AAGUCGUAACAAGGUAACCGUAGGUGAACCUGCGGUUGGAUCAUUACCAAAAGAAGGACUUUGAGUCCCCUUUAAACGCUAGUGCCCUUAACAAGGCCUAGUAAACCCCUUGUGAACUGUUUAUUGUCUUUGGCAGGACCACUCUCUGGAGUACCUGCCAACCCACUUAUUAAACCCCGUUUUUAAACAACGUCUUAUCAAAUGUAAAAAUUUGAAACAACUUUUGACAACGGAUCUCUUGGCUCUC